rnacentral:rRNA from 1 species
GUAGGUGGCAAGCGUUGUCCGGAAUUAUUGGGCGUAAAGCGCGCGCAGGCGGUUCUUUGAGUCUGAUGUGAAAGCCCACGGCUCAACCGUGGAGGGUCAUUGGAAACUGGAGAACUUGAGUACAGAAGAGGAAAGCGGAAUUCCACGUGUAGCGGUGAAAUGCGUAGAGAUGUGGAGGAACACCAGUGGCGAAGGCGGCUUUCUGGUCUGUAACUGACGCUGAGGCGCGAAAGCGUGGGGGGAGCAAACAGGAUUAGAUACCCUGGUAGUCCACGCCGUAAACGAUGAGUGCUAAGUGUUAGGGGGUUUCCGCCCCUUAGUGCUGCAGCUAACGCAUUAAGCACUCCGCCUGGGAGUACGGCCGCAAGGCUG